CAGGACGUAGCUAUAAUUCAAAGCAUUCAGCUUACACCUGAAAGAUACCUAUUACCUCCAGGUCGUCCUGA
rnacentral:tRNA from 1 species